CACUGACAUUCCUGAGGAAGACAGGUUGGUUUUUAUUUUACAUGUGGUUGAAAUUUGGCAACUCUACUGGUUUUAUUGUUCCUGAAUAUUUAUUUGUUUAUAUUUUUUGUUGCCCAUGCAGAUACGGGAAUGCAACUGUGGCAGAAAACACAGAGAGAGGAUGGAGGGAUCUUAUUUUCCAUAAGAUACGUGCUGUUUUUGGUUUUGGCAUAUGAGCUAUUUUGAUAUUUUCUACAAAGUGUAGAUUUUUUCAUCAGAUUUUCUUUCUCUCGGCAAUGAAAUUUGAAUUAAUGAAAGCUGGGAUUAUAUAACUGUGUGUGGACUGUCAAUGUGUUUGUAGUCUCUUGUGAAACUGGUUGUCUUGGAACUCAUGUUUUCCAAUAACCAAAAUGCUUUGAUGAAUUUGAAGGUUCAAUAGAAAUGACAGAAAAUGGGUGUUCUAUCAAACAAGAUUACGAAAUGCCUCUCUUUAUUUUCCCCUGAGUCUGCCUGCCUGUUAUACUAUGAUUCAUUUUACUGUUGUCCUUCCCAAUUAAACCAUUUUUGAAAUUUGGGCGCAGAAUAGUUGCAGAGAUGGCAGUGAUAUUUGUGAUCCAAUAUUAUCAUAGGCAAAAAAUCUAAGCAUGUGUCAAAUUUUUUGUUUUUGACUUUUAAAUUGAAAAUUUCGUUUAAAAAUAAAAAGCUCUUGAUUAAUACUCUUGCCGAUGGUUUUCUUGGAAAUGCAAAGGAUGAAGGUUUUGUUUGACAAUAUUAACUGUUUCAAUAGUUUGUUAAUUAUUUUAAUAAUUAUUAACUGUUGUUAAUUGCUUUUAAUUGUUAGAUGUUAGUUGUUAGUAGCUAAUUGUUUAUAUAGUUAUUAAAAUAAAAGUGUUUGUUAAAAAUAAUGGUUGAAUUAUAUAAUAAAUAUAAAAAUAGUGAUGUAAUCUUGUUGAUUUUAAUCAAAAUGAUUCUUCAAUCUUUAAAAGUAAAUAUAUCAUUAAAAGGUAUAAAUAAGAGAAAUAGUGUUUGACUCCAAUCAAAAUAUUAAACGCCACUUCAAAAGUGGCUGACAUAUACAAGGUUGCAGCAACUUUAAUUAUUUAUUAUGUUAAGAUUGCUUGGAAAAUGGAAAGUUGAGGAAGGUGCAUGAGAAUUAGGGUUGGGUGAUGGAAACUAGAAAACAGAUUCAGGUGGAUUUUCUUGUUCCUAAAUCUGUGGGUUAGAGACAGCUUUCAUCUUUGUGAUGGACACAUGUAUAUGGUAUGAACAUACAAAAAUGAAUGAAAUUUAAGUUUUUGGCCGAAUAUUGAUUAAGAUGAAGAUUUUUCUCAUAUUUUGCUGUGUGGAGUAUAAUUAGAUUUUCAAUCCCAUUCUGCAUGAUUCCCAUACAUGAGGGGCCUUGUAGAGCAACCAGGAAUGUAUUGUCGAUUUAAAAAUUAAAAUUUAUUGAUGAAAAUAUCAAGAUAAUUAUAUAUUUUUAAUAAAAUUUAUGACAAAAACUGUAAUCAAGGAACAUGAUGUGACCUUUUUUUUUA
rnacentral:misc_RNA from 1 species